UGUGACUCUCUUCCACCAUGGGAUUAUGGCUGGGUGCAGUGGCUCAUGCCUGUAAUCCCAGCACUUUGGGAGGCUGUGUCGAGGGGAUCAUCUGAGAUCAGGAGUUCGAGGCCAGCCUGGCCAACAUGGUUCUGCCUGCAGGGAAGAUUGUGACAUAUUGCUGGUCCCAACACCAACGUGAUGUUGCUCUUUUGCCUUGGUCCUGCCCACAAAAGACAUUGUGAUAUACUGGUGGGCCCAGCUUGAAGGUGAUGUGAUGUGAGCCUUCUACCUGGACCAACUCCCUGCCACCCAGGGGUAAUAUGACGAUUUGCUUGACCCAGUACCUAGGUGAUGUGACUCUUCCCUGCUGCUUGGCUCCUUCCCACAGGAGGAAUUGUGAUGUAUCACCGGGCCCAGCAUGCAGAUUCUGCCCACAAAGGAGAUUGUGACACAUCGCUGGACCCAACAUUAAGAUGAUGUUACACUUUUGUCUUGGCUCUGCCCUUAGAAAGCAUUGUGACAUAUUUAUGAUUCCAGCAUUAAGAUUAUGUGAACCUCCUGCUUGCACCUUUCCAAAAGGAGGCAUUAUGACACAUAUCUGGACCAAUUAACAAUUUGAUGAGAAGUGACUCUCUUUAUUUGCCUGGGCCCUACCUCAAAAGAAGAUUGUGACAUAGCACUGGAUUUAGCACCUAGGUGCUCUUAAUUUUUGCCUGUGACUUUCAUAUUUUGGGUAUUGUGACAUAUUCCUGAGCCCAACACCCAAGUGAUGAUGGGCUUUUACCUGGGCCCUGCCCACAGUAGUUCUUGUGACAUAUCCAGCACCUAGGAAAUGUGAUUCCCUUUUUCUUCCUGCACCCUGCCCAAAGGAAAGAUUGUGACACAUUGCGGGGCUCAGCAACCAGGUGGGACUGUGACAGCUUACAUUUGCAAUGAUGACUCUCAUACCUUGUCCAGCCAAUAAGAGUGAUACCAUCUAUCUGAGGUUAUGUGGCUCUCCUGUCUGUUCCCUGUCUACAUGGACUAUUGUGACAUAUUGCUGUGUCUAACACCAUGUAAUGUAACUCUCUCACUUGAGGCCUGCCUACAGGGAGCACUGUGAAAAAUCCCUGCGCCCAUCAUUCUGCCAUGACCACAGAUGGGAGACCAUAGCACCCUGAAGGUCACAGAGUGAAUUGCAACUCUCAUGCAUACUGUACAAAACCCUUGGAUAGCACUGUGUUUUUACAGAGGUCAGCACACAGGUGACAUUGUGACACUCACAUGCACGCCUAGAAGUCAGUAAAAAUUGUUAUCUUUCCAUGUACACACAGCCAACUCUUGAGAUUCUGAAUCUCACAUUAGGAGGCAGUUGAAAGUUUGAAAAUUGACUCUCAUAUGUAGAUUCAUUCCAGAGAGAGUUUGAUGAUUUUCAGACCAAGAUUCAGCACACCUGGAAGGCUGUGACUCCUUUGAGGGGGCAGAGUCUGCAGGAGACAUUGAGGCUGUCAUCCACAUAUCUAUCCCACAGUUCAGAUUGUGACUCAUGCACUUAUAUCCAACCUAUAGUAGGUGUUGACUCCCAUACCAAGAGCUGGGAAAUGUAUGAAAUUCCUAAUCUCACCCCUGGACCUUCCUUUGGUGUGAUUGUGACAUACACCUCCUCCAAGCGCCUGAGUAAUUUAACUCUCCUGCUUGAGUUUAGCUCGCAAAUGAGAUUGUGACAUAUUACUGGAUCCAGUACCUAUGUGAUGGGAUUUUAUUCUACUGCUUUGGUGUUGCCCACAGGGGACAUUCUGACGUAUCACUAGGCCCAGAAUUUUUUUGUGAUUAAACAAUGCUGCCUGU